rnacentral:rRNA from 1 species
UACGAAGGGUGCAAGCGUUACUCGGAAUUACUGGGCGUAAAGGGUUCGUAGGUGGCUUGCUAAGUCAGACGUGAAAUCCCUCAGCUUAACUGGGGAACUGCGUCUGAGACUGGCAGGCUUGAGUGCAGGAGAGGAACGCGGAAUUCCAGGUGUAGCGGUGAAAUGCGUAGAUAUCUGGAGGAACACCGGUGGCGAAGGCGGCGUUCUGGACUGUAACUGACACUGAGUGAACGAAAGCCAGGGGAGCAAACGGG